rnacentral:misc_RNA from 1 species
AUUACGUCACUCGAGCCAAGCGAAGCGCGGAGGGAGAUGUACGAGAUCCGUACUCUGUUAAAAUUAAUACGUCAUCUCAUAAUCUAAAGUGAUAUUUAUAAAUUAUACUGUGGUCUCGAUUAUAAUCCAAUUAUACAACAGCAAAUAUGCCGGCGGCGCGGGGCGUGAAACGUGCAGCGUCGAAAUCGUCGGCUCCUACGGCAUCGACAGGACCGAAAAAUAAGAAAAAACGCGGAGCGAUCCAGUUAGAGAUCCCGGCUGCCCCGAAGCGGCGCGGCCGUGUCAUGACAUGCGGUCAAGGCGACGUUGGACAGUUGGGACUCGGCGAGGACGUGAUUGAGACUAACAAAUUUAAAGUUGUGACUGCGUUGGGUGACAAAAUCGUGGAGAUACGCGCGGGGGGCAUGCACACAGUGGCGCUGGACAGCAAUGGGAAGGUGUGGACGUUCGGGUGCAACGACGAGGGCGCGCUGGGCCGCGCCACGUGCGGCGAGGCGGACGAGGCGCGCGCGGGGCUCGUGGCGCUGCCGGCGCGCGCGCGCGGCGUGGCGGCCGGCGACUCGCACUCCGCCGCGCUGCUGCACGACGGGCACGUCUACGCGUGGGGCGCCUUCCGGGAUUCUCACGGCACGAUGGGGCUGGUGGUGCGCGGGCGCGAGGGCAAGGCGUGUCGCGAGCCCGUACACAUCGAGCUGCCCGAGCCGGCCGUCGAGAUCGCUUCCGGGGGAGACCAUCUCGUCAUGCUUACCACAUCAGGCGCGGUGUACACUAUGGGCUGCGGUGAACAAGGACAGCUGGGCAGACUGGCGCAGCGGUCCGCGUCCAGGGAUGCAAGACAAGGAUUCAGUGCCCUGCUGGUGCCUUCCAAGGUGACGCUGAAGCUGGGAGCGUCUCGUAUCUGGGCGGGGUACCACGCCACCUUCGCGCUGGAUGCAAACAGCGACAAGAUGUUCGCAUGGGGACUCAAUAAUUAUGGACAGUUAGGAAUAACAGGAGAAAAGCGUCGUCGGGCACUAUACUCGCCGAUGGAAUGCGACGCGUUCACAGCGUGGCGCGACAGCAAGGGCGACAGCGUCACGUGGCGCAGCGUCGCGGCGGGGCAGCACCACUCCCUCGCGCUCGACGGCGCGGGUUCGGUGCUCGCGCUGGGCCGCUGCGAGUACGGCCGGCUGGGACUGCCGCAGCCGGAGGACGCGCAGCAUCUCACCAUCAUACCCGCGCUGCAGCACAGGAACGUGGUCAGCAUCAGCGCGUCUACCAGCAGCUCGUUCGCUGUUACUGCUGAGGGCGAAGUGUACUCGUGGGGUAUGGGCAGCGAGGGCCAGCUCGGCACCGGCGCGUGCGCAGACGCGGCCGAGCCCGUCGCCGUGCCGCACGGAGACCGACCCACCAUACAGGUCUCCGCGGGGGGACAACACACCGUGCUGCUCGUGGAAGACACAUCAUCAACAAAAGAACCCUCACCAGCACCGGAUCAGGAAAUGGCAGAACAGACGACAGAGGACGAGAACACAGAGGAGGAGGAAGUGAAGGCGAAACGGCCGAAAAACGAGCAAGAGGGAGAGAUAUCGUCCACGUCGAGCGCGCAUGCGAGCGAGGUGGCAGAAGAGAGCAAACCGCAGCGGGCGCGAGGAGUCAAACCCAAGUCCCGCAACAAACGGCGCUAGCGCACACGCACUAAGGUGAACGGUGACGAGACGGACACGCCCAUGGAGGUUGACGACACUGACAACAGCCAAGACAACAGUCAAGAGAAAAAAGACGAGGACACGCAAGA